CCAUGGGGCCCCCCUCCAUGGGCCCCCAGCCUCCAUGGCCCCCAGCCUCCAUGGGCCCCAGCCUCCAUGGGCCUCCAGCCUCCAUGGCCUCCAGCCUCCAUGGGCCCCCAGCCUCCAUGGGGCCCCAGCCUCCAUGGGCCCCCAGCCAAACGUGGUUUUGGGGCCUCUAGUUCUGCUGACAUGUGGGGACCGGCUGCAAUCAGGGGUCCAAUCAUUAGAUCAUUCACACACUGCUAUGAACUUUUUGCAUCUCUGGCAGUGAUGUUUAUAUUAUAUACAUGUAUAAAGGAAACAUUUAUGGACCAGUUGAUUUCUGGGAGCCGAUUUCCUUCAUUUUGGGGCAUCGUGAUCGGCCGAUACUGACGUGAAGCUGAUCUGAUGUCCAUCAUGAUGUCCAUCAUCUCUGUCCUUCUGCAGAGACAGUUGGACUGACAGACCAGGUCAGUCUGAACGUUUACAGCUAAUAUUCACUGUUAGACUUUGCUGCUACAUUCAGAAACAUUUGAGACUCAAUAAAUUCAUAUGAGCCAAAAUCAGCAGGUCAAAGGUCAGCCCAUCGGCCAGAAAACUGCAAUCACUGCAGAAACACAUUCAAUUCAUUUCUCUUCAGCUCCAAUAGCUAAAAUCUAAUUUAUACCAUGUGAGUCUUUCUCCCCUGGAGUGUGGACCGGUACCGGUACCGGGUCGGUUCUGAGCCGCCAAAUGAUUUUUCUCAGCAGCGGCUCAUCCUGCAGCAGCUGCAGACUGACGUCUCAACAUUUAGCUGGACAAUAUCAGAAUCUGAUGAGUUUUAAUUAUUCAUAUCAAACCUGAUCAAACAGUUUGAACCAAAAUACCCGAGAAAUAUCCACCAGGAGAAUCAACUCAUUUAAACUCAGUUUCACACAAAGACGCAGCUUCAAUGUUGCAGAACUGGACCGGUCCGGUCCGGUCCGGGUCGUCAAGGUCAUUUCUGUUAGCAGCUUCACUAAUCUAUGACAUUACAGAAUGGAACAGAAACACGUCAUAAGUCACAUUAUUGUUUGGAUUUUCAUCAGUGCGUUUUGCAUCCAGUGAAAACAAACAUGUGAACAAAUGAACAGACUGUUUGUUGAAAGUUUAGUGAUAUUUCCACAGUUUCAGUCUUGAAAUAAAAUCCUGAGUCCUCAGCGCCGAGACAAGAUAUUUGACCAACUGCCUCCAAGUGACCCAGAAACCAAAAUCUACACUAAAAACUCGGGGCAGGAAAAGGAAUCAACCGUUUCUGCAGUGAAGAGAGAAAGAAGGUGGAGAGUAACAGAGAAAAUCAGCUGAUUAUUGACAAUCUAAUCCUACACAUUGGAAUAGAAAUGUGUGAUAAGGCAUAACAUUAAUAUUACGUUGUGGCUUAAUCAAUGAAUACAUUUCACACCUGAAUGUAUGCUUUUAUUGUGAAGGGCAGAAGGUGAGGUGAGAAGACACUUCAUUCUAUUUUUGGUUUGGAUUGGAAGAGACUGAGAACAAAUCAAGUUGUAUUUUGGUCUUUUUCUGCCGACUCCCACGGUGGUGACCUGAACCUCUAUGAACAUCUGAACAUGUUUUUAAGCUGAACUCACCAGAUGCUGCCGCUGCUUCUCCACCAGCUGUGCUUUCAGACCCAGUUUCUUGGCAGGCGGCCGUUGCUCCAACCGUCAUUAUCGGGCUUCCAGAGUUCUGGCAGCACCAUCCAGAACCAUGGUUCCAGAACCAUGGUUCCAGAACCAUGGUUCCAGAACCAUGGUUCCAGAACCAUGGUUCCAGAACCAUGGUUCCAGCACGUGGAAGCCCAGUUCCAUCUCAUUUGGAUAACCACAGAUGAGACCAAGUACUUCCAUGUCGUUGCUGCGUUGGAUUCAGUUUCCACCCGCCGUCUGAUGGGUCUGCUGAGGAACCCAGCAAGGAGAAUCUGCUCCGGUUCUACCAACUGUCAGACAUGGAGCGGGAUGAUCGCUUGCGCUCUCUGAACGGCUUGGGGAUCACAAGCCCUCUGCCUGAUGGAGAACAUGCUGGCUCUACUUGUUUCCUUCCUUUUGACACAUCUGUUUCUGCUUCCUCCACCUAUUCGCUCCGCGCUGGCCAGCUCGCCGCGGAUCCGGACACAGGAUUAUUGUUCCCUGGCUGAGGAAGCGGACUGGAUGUUGUUGGUUUCCAGGCACUACAGUAUGAAUGCACCUCUACCAAGUGUGACUGGGGGGAGAGACAAGGCCUGCUGGAGCCAUGACUGUGGUGAUGGAGCAACAGCAGGACGACAUUCUCUGCUUCUUCCAUCGCUGGUUCAGAGUGAAGGUGAAGGCAGCGGGUGUUUUGUGCAAAAGUAACACCCUGUACACCCCGAUUGGCACUUUUGAAUCAAAGUUGGUAACUGUGUGUUUCAAUGGGCAUCAGUUUCAGUGGGACCUGCUAAUAGCUUCUAUGUCUUUACCUAUUUUGGGUGCAGACUUUUUGUGUGGCUUUAAGUUAUUAGUACAUGUUGCUAAUAGCUGCUUAAUAGAUGCUGUGUCUUUCGAUACAUACCCUUGUAAACUCGGCGGUCCCCCAUCGACCCAUCACCACCAUGCUUGCCACAGGAGAUGAGUAUCAGCGUCUGUUAGCAGAGUUCCCAUCUUCAACGGUUCCCACAUUUUGUGCUGCCAUGGCAAAGAAUGUGGGGAACAUUGUUUACUUAGGGUCUGCCCACCGGUUUGUGUGCAAGUUCACCGCCGAAGCCUCUGCUAAGGUAGCGAUUGUGAAGCAGGAGUUUGCACACAUAGAGGGUUAGGGAAGGAACCAUUUGAUUGACAUAUUACAUGUCAAAUUGAUAUGAGAAUUUUCUAUGUUCUUUGAUAAAUUGUAUGUUUCAUGCUCAUUUUAUACAUUUUCAACACAUUUUAAGAAGUUGAGUGCUGUAUGUUGAUUGAAUCAAGGAAUGCUCAUGGCCUCUGGAGCCCAUGGACCACAGGGGGUCCAGACAUGGACCACAGGGGGUCCAGACAUGGACCACAGGAGGCCAAGUGGAACUUGUUCUGUAUGUUGAUUGAAUUGGGCAGGGAAGUAACAUUCUGAUUGGCUAACCCGUCUGGAAGAGGGGAAAUGGCCAUUCCCUUCUGUCAUUCGAGGUUGUUUUAGUAAUGAGUAUAAAAAGCAGAAAAGUCCCAUUGUUGAGUUAGUCAGAGUAGCGUCGGAGUAGAGUACGGACGCCCAAUUAUGUGAUGCUGCAGCUCUUCCCUGAACUGUCGACUCUCCGGUUCACUGUGUCACGGAGCAACGCGAGAGCAACGCGGGAGCAACGCGAGAGCAACGCGGGAGCAACGCGAGAGCAACGCGGGAGCAACGCGAGAGCAACGCGGGAGCAACGCGAGAGCAACGCGGGAGCAACGCGAGAGCAACGCGGGAGCAACGUUGUUGCGCUGGUCGCUCAGCUGAUUGACUGGGAGCUUUUUCGACACAGAAAUGUUGCGCUGUCAGACCCAUAAUGUCACACUUCUGCCAUCUAGCGGCGCACUUGCUACUGCAUGACAUUGCUCCAAAUAUUUCAACACAGGAUUAUAUCCAAAACUAAACUUUGUUUUGUGAAACCAAAACAAAUUAAAUCAAACAAAUGUGA